rnacentral:lncRNA from 1 species
GAUGAUUCAGGCAGGAAGUGACAUGGCAAGGAGACUCAUAUCUAAGCAAGGAAACAGGAAGUAUGCCUUUUUCCCCCCCUGCUCCUUCUCCAGCAGCAAGAUGUGAUCCCAGCAAGGAGGGACGCCAAUAAGGAGGCUGGCGUAAAGCUCACACGUGGCGGUGGGGCUCAGGCGGCAUUUGGCAGAAAGAUUUAUUGUAACAGGCAUUCUACGAGCCCUCAUCCAGUGACUGAUGGAAGCAGAGGCAGACAUCCACAGAUAUACACUGAACUCUGGAACUUAGUUGCAGAGCGGGAGGAAUGAAGAUCGAAGGGGUUGGUACCAGGCUGGUGAAACCCACAGUACCAGCUAGCCUGAACAAGGGGGAACACAUGGACUCCAGAUGCUGUCUGGGAGAGCAGCACAGGACUGAUCCAGACCCCUGAACAUGGAUGCCAAUGAGGAGGCAUCUGCACCCUAAGGGGCCCCUGGUAGUGGUUUAGGAUUUUUCCCUGGUGUAAGAAGGGACUUUGAGAGCCCAUCCCAUGUGAAUGGAUGCACUCUUGCCCUGGGCACAUAGGGAAGGGCCAAGGCCCAGCCUAGGAUGAUGUGGUGGACUUUGCUGAGCCCCCCAUUGAGGGCCCUACCCUGCAUGGGGAGUGGAGAGUGGAUGGGUUUGGGGGGUAGGUCGGGGGGUGGGGGAGGAGGGUGCGGGUGAGGGGAGGGAGAGGGAGAACGGAUUGACAUGUGAAACAAACUUGUUCCUAAUUUGAACUAAU